AUUCAGAUAGCUUAAAAUAAAAGCAUAGUAUUGAAGAUACUAAGAUAAUAUUUUUAUUUUUGAAUA
rnacentral:tRNA from 1 species